UUUCCAGGCUCUGCGCUAGAAACCAGAGAUUUGGCAAUGAUGAUGAUGAUGUCUUGUCCUCAGAAAACUUAGCAAACUUCUACAGCACAAAGGCAUAGCAAAACUGCAACUAAGUUGAAAGGACACAAUACUGGUUUUGGUUCUCAGUGUCGAUAGGCAUGAGGUGAAGGUUUAAAAAAAAAAAAAAGUAACACCCAUGGAAAUUUAUCCAGCUAAAAAUGGUACACCUCUUUCUGAUCUGCUUCAGUGGCCCUUCUGCACAAGUGUGAUUUCUGCCCAGCAUGGUAAGAAACUGUAAACCACAACGGGGCAAGGCCAGGUAAUGAUGGCGCACGCGCCUCAAAGUCAUUGGAUUUGGUUCUGUAAGCAGCUGAAGAGCCCCUGAUGUCAUCAGUUCUACAAGCACACUGGGCUCUCAGUACACAACACCAAGGUCAGCCCCAUCUUCCCUCCUCCUACAGUUCCUGCUUGCUCAUCUACUAGGGUUUUUAAGGAAGAUGCCAAGGAAAACUAGGGGAUAUGCCUCCAUGCAGCUACAUUUUUCAUCGUCAGAAGAAUGAAUUUAAAUAAAAGUUGCAAGCCAUCACGUUGUCACUAAAGCUGCACUGUUUACUUAGGACACAAAUCGUACGCUCCGUUUUGUGACUAGCUUUAAACAAAAGUUAAAAUGAUUCUUCAGCGGCUUGUAUUUCGUUUAAUAUGUAUACUUGGUUCAUUUUCACUCAUUCUUUUCUGCGGGAUUGAGUUAAUGUAGAAGAAAGGACUCUUUUUAAAAAGCAAAAGUAAUUUUUUGUUUAAAUUUCAAACCUUAAGUACAUUUAACAUUUUUAAAUUCACAUGGCUUUGGUUCUCCAGUAAUUGUAAAACUGUCAUUGGUUUUACUUAACUCUAAGGCACCUUAACUAAACAGCAAUAACCCAUUCAAGUAUUUUACAUUCUACCUCACUGUAUUUAUGAGAGUUACAUUUUUUUCCUACUAGGCUGUUUGUAAUUUUCUUUUGCCUGUACUCAAAACAUAUUUUAAAAUAUAAUUUGGCUAGGGAAUUUCAGGGUAUUUAUUUCCUAAGUACUGGGCUCACAUAAACAUAAGACCAGUUUUAUAUCCUUGCUUAUUUAAUAUCACUCUAGUUUUCUCUAAUUUCUUUGGAUAGUACCAACUUAAAAGCAACUUAAAUAAAAUUUCUAAGAAUCAAGUCGAUAUUAUUCGAUGUAUUUUUAGUUAAAUUCUGUUAAAUCUUAAUUUUCAGAGUAUGUUUCUGACUUCAGAAUCUUUCAAGGAAACACAUUCUAAUCCAACUCAGAGACAGAGCAUGAGCAGGGGAGGGGCAGAGAGAGGGAGACACAGAAUCUGAAGAGGGCUCCAGGCUCUGAGCUGUCAGCAAAGAGCCCCAUGUCAGGCUCGAACUCAAGAGUGGUGAGAUCAUGGCCUGAGCCAAAGUCGAUGCUUAACCAAUGAAGCCACCCAAGCACCCCGCAUGUUAAUUUCUAAGAGCGCCUCACAACCCCAAAGCCUUCACUCUGGAUGGACCAAAAGGAGGUAAGAUCAAACACCACCAAGACCCUGCUGCACCUCCUGGGAUGAUGGCAGCAGCAGAAUCAACAACAUAACUAGGAUUCAAGGAGAACAUACUGUGUAGCAGGCACGGAUAGCCUAGAGCUAUCUGCAUUCUCCGCAUUCUCUAUUCAAUCCGUAGAACGCCCCUACAAGGUGGGGACUCCUAUCACGUUCAAUUCAGAGAGGCGAAAGGGCUUGCCAAGGCCACACAGCUAGCAAGUGGUGGAGCUGGGAACCUAGCCAGACCCCGACACAUAAUCAGUGUUACUCUGCCUUUCUGUCUACCCAAAAGUAUAAUGAUCAGAUAUCUGUAAAUUAACCCAUCUUCAAAAAAAGUUACUUCAUUUACAUCUGGCUGCAAAACAUGUUUAAUUACUUUAAAGCAGCUUUGCUGUGGUGAUUGAAGUAUUUCCCCUUCUGCAGCACAGCACAAAGAACUUUAUAGAUCACUCUCCUACAAAACCACCUGUACUAUGUCCACAUGGUUGUCAAGGUUAAAAACGAAUACAAAUAAUAACAGAAGCAAUUCCAAGGGGGAAUUUUUCUUUUGUGGGAGAGGAUUAGAUGGAAACAUUCUAAAAAAUGAAAAAGAGGCACCAUCUGGAAUAAUUUUAUUUUCUCACAUCUUGGAUACCUCAUAGUGUGCAACAAUGUCAAAAAUAAAGGAUCAAGAGUCCUGAAGUUAAGGAGUUUCAAAAUCUCAGAAUCUAACAAGACACCUUGACUAUCCAAUAUAAUUGAUCAUUGCUUAUGAAGAGACACCUCUCUGGAGUUUCCUUCCUACCUUCUUGCCUUCCUUCCUUCCUUCCUUCCUUCCUUCCUUCCUUCCUUCCUACCUUCCUUCCUACCUUCCUUCCUACCUUCCUUCCUACCUUCCUUCCUACCUUCCUUCCUUCUUUCCUUCCUUCCUUCUUUCCUUCCUUCCUUCUUUCCUUCCUUCCUUCUUUCCUUCCUUCCUUCCUACCUUCCUUCCUACCUUCCUUCCUACCUUCCUUCCUUCCUACCUUCCUUCCUUCCUACCAUCCU